rnacentral:rRNA from 1 species
UUCUGCCCUAUCAACUUUCGACGGCUGGGUAUUGGCCAGCCGUGGUUACAACGGGUAACGGAGGGUUAGGGCUUGACCCCGGAGAAGGAGCAUGAGAAACGGCUACUACAUCCAAGGAAGGCAGCAGGCGCGCAAAUUACCCAAUCCCGAUACGGGGAGGUAGUGACAAUAAAUACUGAUACAGGGCUCUUUUGGGUCUUGUAAUUGGAAUGAGUACAAUUUAAAUCCCUUAACGAGGAACAAUUGGAGGGCAAGUCUGGUGCCAGCAGCCGCGGUAAUUCCAGCUCCAAUAGCGUAUAUUAAAGUUGUUGCAGUUAAAAAGCUCGUAGUUGAACCUUGGGCCUGGCUGGCCGGUCUGCCUCACCGCAUGCACUGGUCCGGCCGGGUCUUUCCCUCUGGGGAUCCGCAUGCUAUUUAUUUAGUGUGUCGGGGAACCAGGACUUUUACUGUGAAAAAAUUAGAGUGUUCAAAGCAGGCCUAUGCUCGAAUACAUUAGCAUGGAAUAAUAGAAUAGGACGUGUGGUUCUAUUUUGUUGGUUUCUAGGACCGCCGUAAUGAUUAAUAGGGACAGUCGGGGGCAUCAGUAUUCCAUCGUCAGAGGUGAAAUUCUUGGAUCGAUGGAAGACUAACUACUGCGAAAGCAUUUGCCAAGGAUGUUUUCAUUAAUCAGGAACGAAAGUUAGGGGAUCGAAAACGAUCAGAUACCGUUGUAGUCUUAACCAUAAACUAUGCCGACUAGGGAUCGGACGAUGUUAUUUUUUGACUCGUUCGGCACCUUACACGAAAGUAAAGUUUUUGGGU